AUUGAACGCUGGCGGCAUGCCUUACACAUGCAAGUCGAACGGUAACAGGUUAAGCUGACGAGUGGCGAACGGGUGAGUAAUGUAUCGGAACGUGCCCAGUCGUGGGGGAUAACUGCUCGAAAGAGCAGCUAAUACCGCAUACGACCUGAGGGUGAAAGCGGGGGAUCGCAAGACCUCGCGCGAUUGGAGCGGCCGAUAUCAGCUUAGGUAGUUGGUGGGGUAAAGGCCUACCAAGCCGACGAUCCGUAGCUGGUCUGAGAGGACGACCAGCCACACGGGGACUGGGACACGGCCCAGACUCCUACGGGAGGCAGCAGUGGGGAAUUUUGGACAAUGGACGCAAGUCUGAUCCAGCCAUGCCGCGUGCGGGAAGAAGGCCUUCGGGUUGUAAACCGCUUUUGUCAGGGAAGAAGGUUCGCUGGCUAAUAUCCAGCGGAAUUGACGUUACCAGCAGAAUAAGCACCGGCUAACUCCGUGCCAGCCGCCGCAGUAAUAC
rnacentral:rRNA from 1 species